UCCUGGAUAGUUCAAUUGGUUAGAAUGUACGUUCAGCUCAACUCCUUGGGUGCUGCAGGCUGCUGACACAGACGAUGACAGAUCCGCUCGUCUUUCGCAAGAGCGACAGCGUGGAUGAUGGUGGUUCGAGUCCAUCUCUGGGAG